rnacentral:rRNA from 1 species
AUUGAACGCUGGCGGCAGGCCUAACACAUGCAAGUCGAACGGUAGCACAAAGAGCUUGCUCUCGGGUGACGAGUGGCGGACGGGUGAGUAACGUCUGGGAAACUGCCCGAUGGAGGGGGAUAACUACUGGAAACGGUAGCUAAUACCGCAUAACGUCGCAAGACCAAAGGGGGGGACCUUCGGGCCUCACACCAUCGGAUGUGCCCAGAUGGGAUUAGCUAGUAGGUGGGGUAAUGGCUCACCUAGGCGACGAUCCCUAGCUGGUCUGAGAGGAUGACCAGCCACACUGGAACUGAGACACGGUCCAGACUCCUACGGGAGGCAGCAGUGGGGAAUAUUGCACAAUGGGCGCAAGCCUGAUGCAGCCAUGCCGCGUGUAUGAAGAAGGCCUUCGGGUUGUAAAGUACUUUCAGCGGGGAGGAAGGCGGUGAAGUUAAUAGCUUCACCGAUUGACGUUACCCGCAGAAGAAGCACCGGCUAACUCCGUGCCAGCCGCCGCGGUAA